GAAGAACGCUGGCGGCGUGCUUAACACAUGCAAGUCGAACGAAGUGGCGAACGGGUGAGUAACGCGUAAUCAACCUGCCCUUCAGAGGGGGACAACAGUUGGAAACGACUGCUAAUACCGCAUACUGAAGGAGGGGUUUGCGUCUGAUUAGCUAGUUGGAGGGGUAACGGCACACCAAGGCGAUGAUCAGUAGCCAGUCUGAGAGGAUGAACGGCCACAGUGGGAGUGAGACACGGCCCAAAAUCCUACGGGAGGCAGCAGUGGGGAAUCUUCCGAAAUGGACGAAAGUCUGACGGAGCAACGCCGAGGGAGUGAGGACGGCCUUCGGGUUGUAAAGCUCUGUUAAUCGGGACGAGGUACCGGAAUAGCAAGCCACGGAUAAGUACGUGCCAGCAGCCGCGGUAAUUC
rnacentral:rRNA from 1 species